rnacentral:rRNA from 1 species
AGUAACGCGUGGGUAACCGUGCCUCAUACAGGGGGAUAACGAUUGGAAACGAUUGCUAAUACCGCAUAAGCGCACAGUACCACAUGGUGCAGUGUGAAAAACUCCGGUGGUAUGAGAUGGACCCGCGUCUGAUUAGCUAGUUGGUGAGGUAACGGCCACCAAGGCAACGAUCAGUAGCCGACCUGAGAGGGUGACCGGCCACAUUGGGACUGAGACACGGCCCAG